CUGAGCCUGCCCCAUCACAACCCCACCAUCACCUCCAAACCUUUUUUCUCAUGGGCAUUCCCUCACCUACUUCAAUUUCUGGACCAUUUUAAAUGAAGUACCAAGAGGAGAGAGGAGACUUCUUCCUAUGAGUAGAGGCAAGACUUUCAUAUCUGGCUGAAACAUGGGGAUGGAGAAAGAGAUUGACUGGAAGGAUAAGAUUUGGGGACAAAAAUGCCAAGCCAGGAAGCAAUGCAUUCUUUAUGUCAUAAUGUAUGAUGGGAGCCUGGCUCAUCCCUCCCCAUGGCCCACUUGGUGGUAUGGAGCUGUUCUCUUCUAAUGACAAACACCAAUGCAUUACAGGAUAAAGGAAACAUUCUUAUCUGUGAGAGAUCUUUGCCACAGUACUUUCUGAAGAGAGGCUUCCUCAAGUCCAUUCAUGUUAAAUUUCCUAUUGAAGAUUUAUACAAACAUUAAGAAGUCACUUCUUGCAAGGGGAGCCUGCUGUGUUGGACAGUCCACUGUGUGUGAUUCUUCCUCUACAAGUUGCACUGUCAUUCCUCCUUGGCUGUCCAAGACUUCUCCAUCUGACCUGGAAUCCUCACAUUACAUUCCCUUCUUC